rnacentral:misc_RNA from 1 species
AUGUAGUUAGAGAUAUUGUCAAUGUUUGCAUGCAAAUUAUUGUUUUCUGGUCUAGUCAAUUAUUGGUUGUUAUUUUUUCCUUUUAAUUGUUAGGUUUUGGUACAUUAAUAUACAAGUAUCCCCUCCUGGUUGUGUUAAGACUUAGUUGAACUAAGUUGAGUUAGAAUUUAGUACAGUUAUCCUUUACCUUCAAUUACAUUAUAUUUGUAGGGCGAGCUG